rnacentral:rRNA from 1 species
UACGGAGGAUGCGAGCGUUAUCCGGAUUUAUUGGGUUUAAAGGGUGCGCAGGCGGAUUUUUAAGUCAGCGGUCAAAUCGUGGGGCUCAACCCCAUCCAGCCGUUGAAACUGGGGAUCUAGAGUGUGCGAGAGGUAUGCGGAAUGCGUGGUGUAGCGGUGAAAUGCAUAGAUAUCACGCAGAACCCCGAUUGCGAAGGCAGCAUACCGGCGCCCGACUGACGCUGAUGCACGAGAGCAUGGGUAGCGAACAGG